GCCUUGGUGCUGGAAUGGUAGACAGGCUAGCUUCAGGAGCUAGUGUCAGCAAUGGCGUGAGAGUUCGAAUCUCUCCCAGGGCA
rnacentral:tRNA from 1 species